UACGUAGGGUGCGAGCGUUGUCCGGAAUUAUUGGGCGUAAAGGGCUCGUAGGCGGUCUGUCGCGUCGGGAGUGAAAACUCAGGGCUUAACCCUGAGCCUGCUUCCGAUACGGGCAGACUAGAGGUAUGCAGGGGAGAACGGAAUUCCUGGUGUAGCGGUGAAAUGCGCAGAUAUCAGGAGGAACACCGGUGGCGAAGGCGGUUCUCUAGGCAUUACCUGACGCUGAGGAGCGAAAGUGUGGGGAGCGAACAGG
rnacentral:rRNA from 1 species